rnacentral:rRNA from 1 species
GACGAACGCUGGCGGCGUGCUUAACACAUGCAAGUCGAACGGAAAGGCCCUGCUUUUGUGGGGUGCUCGAGUGGCGAACGGGUGAGUAACACGUGAGUAACCUGCCCUUGACUUUGGGAUAACUUCAGGAAACUGGGGCUAAUACCGGAUAGGAGCUCCUGCUGCAUGGUGGGGGUUGGAAAGUUUCGGCGGUUGGGGAUGGACUCGCGGCUUAUCAGCUUGUUUGUGGGGUAGUGGCUUACCAAGGCUUUGACGGGUAGCCGGCCUGAGAGGGUGACCGGCCACAUUGGGACUGAGAUACGGCCCAGACUCCUACGGGCGGCAGCAGUGGGGAAUAUUGCACAAUGGGCGGGAGCCUGAUGCAGCAACGCCGCGUGCGGGAUGCCGGCCUUCGGGUUGUAAACCGCUUUCGCCUGAGACGAAGCGUGCGUGACGGUAAUGGGUAAAGAAGCACCGGCUAACUACGUG